CCGUGAGGGAGAUAGGGCCCCUCGGGGAAGCUCAGAGAAGCUGGACAGUCGUCCAAAGUGACAAAACAGUGUAACAAGAGUUGUGAUGGUCAAAGUGAGAGCACCAGUCCCUCCUUGGGAGGGUCACGGGAGGCCUUCCAGAAGGACCCCUCCUUCACACAACCCUAAGGAAGGAGGAAAGAAAGGUGGGAUGCAACGGUUUUGAAGACUGACGAUGAAAAGUUCCUAUCCGAAGGAGCUUCUGGACAGUAGAGCUGAGAAAGAGUGUCUACCUGCGUCCACGUAUCUGGUUACAGGAUCUCCCCAGAGGAGGAACCUCAUAGAAAACAAACAAAACAAACAACUCCGGCUCGAAGUCACAGAAUGAGGAGAUGAGACAGCAAAGAAAGACUCCGUGAGAAGGAUCUUACCAGGUACUGUUAACAACUAAACACAACAGUAAACCCAUGCCUCCCGAGUCAAAAGACGUAAGCCACAGGAAACCACUGGGAGGCUCUCCUGAGACCUCAAACGGUGCCAUGUGAGGGAUGGUUCCAAAACAGACAAGGGCAGGAAGCUGCACCUUCCCUCCAAGACCACUGGGACCAGGCUGGUAACUGCAGGAAGUGCCACCUUCCCUCAAGACCCACCAGACAAGACCGUCAGAGCUACCCAGGAGGGUGCUUUAAUCUGCAUGUGCUUUUGCUCUUUUUCUCUCCUCUCUGUAAAGUUAAAGUUUAAACUGUUGAUGCUUCUUAGCUAUCAACCAUGAUACCUCCAAGGUCUUUAUCUUUCAUACUGUUGUUCGGUUGUUCGUAUUUUACCUCAGUCCCUCCUCAGUUGGAGAGUCCAGGGCCAGGCUGCAAUUUGCUCACCAUUUGGCUACAACGUGUGAUUACACAGUAUGCUGGCUUUGUACUUACUUGCCUUUUGGGGCCAUCCAGCUUUCUUUGCUGUCAGUGUCAUGGAAUUAAUCAAAUCACUUCCUAGGUGAUAAGACUCAACCGAGAAGUGAUCUGGGGAUUAAAAAUAGUUUAACAGGUCAAACAACCAGAAUUCUAAAACCUCCUGUCAUGUCAUACAUAGAAGGGAAUUUGGGGGUCCUAAACAAAAAACGCUCAGAAACCUUUUGUUUAGCUUUCCCUUUUUGUUAGCUUUUCCACGUAAACUUUCACAAAAGGAAAGCCAAUAGUGAUGGUAAAAUGAGGGACAAAGAAGUGUUUUGAGAAAAUGGGACCCAAUGAGAGGAAAAGAGAUGGUAAGAGUUCACUGAGGGAAGAGGGCCCCCAAAGGGUACUCAAGCAAGGAAGCAACUGAGGUGAAUAUGCCUCUGGAGAGUCCGCAGAGAAUACAGAAGGCGGUGGUAUGGAGUCUGCAGACGGUCUAGAACAUGGGCAUCCGUAGAAUCCAGU